GGAAAGAGCUCCUCUCCUGUUAAAGGAUGUCAAGUCCUCAGCUGAGAGUCAUUGAGGAGAGCUGAUCCAUCCAUCCUGCCCAUCCAGAAGCAUCUGAACACUAAGACUCCACAGCCUCGCCACAGCCUUGAAGGGCCCCCCCCCCAAGUUCAUUCGGAAAAGAAAAUAUAAAUAGUUUGCACGUUAACAGGUGGGUGAGCUGAAUUGCCACCAUAUCACUGUCAGGUCACAAGACGCUGGGCUCAAUGUCUAUGAACCAAAGGAAUUCC
rnacentral:lncRNA from 1 species